rnacentral:rRNA from 1 species
AUUGAACGCUGGCGGCAGGCUUAACACAUGCAAGUCGAGCGGGGGGAGGUAGCUUGCUACCGGACCUAGCGGCGGACGGGUGAGUAAUGCUUAGGAAUAUGCCUAUUAGUGGGGGACAACAUCUCGAAAGGGAUGCUAAUACCGCAUACGUCCUACGGGAGAAAGCAGGGGAUCUUCGGACCUUGCGCUAAUUGCUGAGCCUGAGUCGGAUUAGCUAAUUGGUGGUGUAAAGGCCGACCAAGGCGACGAUCUGUAGCGGGUCUGAGAGGCUGAUCCGCCACACUGGGACUGAGACACGGCCCAGACUCCUACGGGAGGCAGCAGUGGGGAAUAUUGGACAAUGGGGGGAACCCUGAUCCAGCCAUGCCGCGUGUGUGAAGAAGGCCUUAUGGUUGUAAAGCACUUUAAGCUAGGAGGAGGCUACUUUAGUUAAUACCUAGAGAUAGUUGACGUUACUCGCAGAAUAAGCACCGGCUAACUCUGUGCCAGCCGCCGCGGUAA